UACGAACCGUACAACCGUUAUUCGGAAUCACUGGGCUUAAAGGGUGCGUAGGCGGCCAUGUAAGUGAGGUGUGAAAUCCCUCGGCUCAACCGAGGAACUGCGCUUCAUACUGCAUGGCUUGAGGGAGACAGGGGUAAGCGGAACUGAUGGUGGAGCGGUGAAAUGCGUUGAUAUCAGCAGGAACACCGGUGGCGAAAGCGGCUUACUGGGUCUCUUCUGACGCUGAGGUACGAAAGCUAGGGUAGCGAACGGG
rnacentral:rRNA from 1 species